rnacentral:rRNA from 1 species
GAUGAACGCUGGCGGCGUGCCUAAUACAUGCAAGUCGAGCGAAUGGAUUGAGAGCUUGCUCUUAUGAAGUUAGCGGCGGACGGGUGAGUAACACGUGGGUAACCUGCCCAUAAGACUGGGAUAACUCCGGGAAACCGGGGCUAAUACCGGAUAACAUUUUGAACCGCAUGGUUCGAAAUUGAAAGGCGGCUUCGGCUGUCACUUAUGGAUGGACCCGCGUCGCAUUAGCUAGUUGGUGAGGUAACGGCUCACCAAGGCAACGAUGCGUAGCCGACCUGGGCGGGUGAUCGGCCACAAGGGGACUGAGACACGGCACAGACUCCUACGGGAGGCAGCAGUAGGGAAUCUUCCGCAAUGGACGAAAGUCUGACGGAGCAACGCCGCGUGAGUGAUGAAGGCUUUCGGGUCGUAAAACUCUGUUGUUAGGGAAGAACAAGUGCUAGUUGAAUAAGCUGGCACCUUGACGGUACCUAACCAGAAAGCCACGGCUAACUACGUGCCAGCCGCCGCCGUAA